AAGGACUGCCGAAGACAGUAGGUGCUUUUUGAAGCGUAAGGAUGAAUACGCCUACCGAGGGAUGAUUGAUACGAAGCGUAUGAUUUUUUGAACCUCUGUGUCUUGGAUGCAGAGGUUUUUUUAUA
rnacentral:sRNA from 1 species